rnacentral:rRNA from 1 species
UGGGGAAUAUUGCACAAUGGGCGAAAGCCUGAUGCAGCAACGCCGCGUGAGUGAUGAAGGCCUUCGGGUUGUAAAGCUCUGUCUUCUGGGACGAUAAUGACGGUACCAGAGGAGGAAGCCACGGCUAACUACGUGCCAGCAGCCGCGGUAAUACGUAGGUGGCAAGCGUUGUCCGGAUUUACUGGGCGUAAAGGAUGCGUAGGCGGAUACUUAAGUCAGAUGUGAAAAUCCCGGGCUUAACUUGGGAACUGCAUUUGAAACUGGGUAUCUAGAGUGCGGGAGAGGAAAGUGGAAUUCCUAGUGUAGCGGUGAAAUGCGUAGAGAUUAGGAAGAACACCAGUGGCGAAGGCGACUUUCUGGACCGUAACUGACGCCGAGGCAUGAAAGCGUGGGGAGCAAACA